AUUUUUCCCAGAGCACUGCUUGUGAAAAAGGAAAAGCAAAAUUGGACAGGUUGGUAAGAAAUCUAAAAAGACUUGUUUCAGGUGCAGUUCGAUUGGUGUAACUUAGCCAAUAGAGUUGUCCUACAAAUGAAGGUGAACAAGGUCGUGUCGGUUGCAUUUCUGGUAAUCAGGAAAAUUGCUUGAUUUCAGCUGAAUAAGGGAACCUGGGUUAAGAGGCCCACCUGCAGUACCAUCCCCUAUUUCUGCUCUAUAACAUUCUGGCUUAACUUGCGUCUUUGAUAAACAUCCUGCAUAUUUUGGUGAAAGUGACAUCUUCUGGGCAGAGAACUUGGACUCCACCUAUCCCUUUGGCUGAGCUUAGUGGCUUUUCUGAACACCAUCCAUGCAGGCAGAAGGAAGUAUUAAUGAAAUGAAGAACCAGACUAGAAGAACUCCCGCUCGCAUUUUCUCCGAAGCUUAUCUUCAUCCUCAUUGUCCCUUCACCGGAUGGCGAUAACUAUCGUUUUCAAACUGCUACUUAUUAUGCCAGCAUGUGAAACCCAUGGUGAUUCCAGUUCAGGCCCUUCGAAAACUGAAGUGAAAAUUCCAAAAAUCGACAGAAAAUGAAGUAGAAGGCGAAUGGCAAGAAAAAAAAAUUCGGGAUUCAAUGUCCUACGAAAACCAAAACAGACUAAUGUCUAACUUGGCUGCGUGUUGAGAGUUGAAGAGAAGGGCUGGAACAAGUACCAUGAUGUUCUAACCCAACAAACCGUUGGUGAAAUAGAGUUGCCGCAUUCGCCUGAUAUAGUCAUUGGUAUCCCUUAUCGAAUUUAUCGCGAUUUGAAACCACCCCUACUAGCACUCGGAUCGGUGUGAUGUUCAAUAACUUAAUUUUGGCUAAAUCAUUUGAAUUAUGAACAAACCAGAUGCAACCAAUCUGCCCACUAAUACGAAACCUUCCUGCAUAACUUCGAAUCUUGUUUAGAGAGAUUUGGGCCUGUCAUGCUUCCAGGACCUCUGGUGGAAAAACCAUCAACUCCUUGAUUCUUCUAUGGCAAGUGUCAGUUCAUUUAUCCUGACGUCGAGCGAGGAAUGAACGUCACGCUCAGUGAACUUUAUCUGCCGAUUCCAUGUAUUAUGAGUAAAGGAACAAUAGCUAACAUUUGACAAGAAAAAAAAUUCAAAAAAUGUUUGUGAAUUCUUGAAAGGAUAAGCAUGGCACCAUUUUGGUCUGAUAACCAAUACCUGGUAUGCUGCGUGGCAGCAAGAUUGUUCUGUGAAAAGAUGGAGUGCUCCCACCGUUUACAUUAUUAGUUAUAAAUAAAAUAUCUCUACCGUCAUUCUUGUAUUUUGUGAAUAUAACUUCAUUUGUGUGAAACAAAGAAGUCCAAGAAGAAAAUGGUUGAAUUCCCUGGCAAUGCAAAUCGUCUUAGCCACAUUGUAAAAGGAAAUGAAGAAAAAAUCUUGCCAAAAUUUGCUUUAGGAAAAACAAUGGUAUGUUUGCAGACAAAAAAUUGCUUGUUGUUUUGUAAAAUGGCAUGGAAAAUGACUUAUUCUGCAAUCUUCAUCGAAAACUGGAUUUAACGUCAGACGAGUGAAGUAAACA